CAGUGUACAGAUGCUUUGCACUGUGGAAAUGAAACUUAGAUCAUUGCCUACUUAUCAGAAAGAAUAGACUAAAAAAAAUGGAACAAUUAUAUUUGUGUGACCAAACAAGCUAAUCGAUAUUUAUGAUUAAAGAAUAGUAAUGAAACUUUAAAUUUGUUCUCUUGGAGUUUGGACAUUUCAUUUCUAACUCCACUUUCUAAAAGCUUUCCUGUUGAAUUAAGUUUCUUUUG
rnacentral:misc_RNA from 1 species